rnacentral:tRNA from 1 species
GGGGACAUGGCUCAGUGGUAGAGUGCUUGCCUAAUAUGUGUGUGGCCCUGGAUUCAAUCCCCAGCAUCACCA